rnacentral:misc_RNA from 1 species
GAUGAAACAAGUGGUUUUUACUUAUUGUAGUAAUUGAUUUUUCUGUUUUAAGAUAUCAAGUAACACAGCAAGUAUGCUUUAAUGUUGACAAUUAGUCACCAAAAACCAAAACCAACAUCCAUAGUCAAAAACUUGCCGCAAAUAAGUAUAGGUCUAUUAGUAUUACUCUUGCUUGGAACACUUUGUGUCAUUGCUUAUGGAGGGCUUACUGCAUUGGCUAUGUUUAUUAAACAUUUUUCCCUUUUUUUUCUCUACCAUUCAAAUUUGAUACAUCUGGCGAGUUUUUCUAAUAUCCUUCUAGAAAAAUUAUGGUGAGUUUUUAGUGCUAU